rnacentral:rRNA from 1 species
UACAGAGGGUGCAAGCGUUAAUCGGAUUUACUGGGCGUAAGCGUGCGUAGGCGGUUCAUUAAGUCGGUUGUGAAAUCCCUGGGCUUAACCUGGGAACUGCAGUCGACUACUGGUGAACUAGAAUGCGGUAGAGGGUGGCGGAACUCCGGGUGUAGCGGUGAAAUGCGUAGAUAUCCGGAAGAACACCGAUGGCGAAGGCAACCACCUGGGCCUGCAUUGACGCUGAGGUACGAAAGCGUGGGGAGCAAACAGG